rnacentral:lncRNA from 1 species
GAGCUUCCCAGUGGAACGGGUCACUUGAUCAGUGUUGAUGACCGUUUACCAACCCCGUGAUGUUGACGCAUUCCAGCUUUUAUUCGUGCAUGGUAAGAGCACAAACUACAGUUGACAUCCAAUUUCCACUUAGCAGCAUGAUCUGAAUACCGGGUGUGGCUUGAACAGCAACUGCAGCGAGAGAACCUAAAUGCAUCACACGGCAACACACUUUCGCCUGGUUAACGUACCAAUCGGCAAACACUUGGAGAUGGAGAAUCGACUGCAGUUGCUACUGAAAAUCAGGAUGCUUUGAAGGAUGGCCUAUUGGAAUGUUUAGGCGCGUCACAUGCUGGAGAAAUUCCGUUCAUACAAGUGGUCCUAACUUAGCUGUUUACCCA